UACGAAGGGGGCGAGCGUUGUUCGGAUUUACUGGGCGUAAAGGGCGCGCAGGCGGCCAUUCAAGUCAGGCGUGAAAGCCCCGGGCUUAACCUGGGAGGUGCGUCUGGGACUGGGUGGCUAGAGAUCGGGAGAGGAGAGUGGAAUUCCCAGUGUAGAGGUGAAAUUCGUAGAUAUUGGGAAGAACACCGGUGGCGAAGGCGGGUCUCUGGGCCGAUACUGACGCUGAGGAGCGAAAGCGUGGGGAGCGAACAGG
rnacentral:rRNA from 1 species